rnacentral:lncRNA from 1 species
AGACUCUCCCAGCUGAGAGAUAUUUGGUAGCCAGGUCUGGGGUGAUAACAUUAGGGAUGAAGAGAAUUAGGUGGUCUUGGGAUGUGAGAAUCAGGAAAAGGGAGGAAUCAAAUAUGACUGCCAGGUUUCUGCCUUGUUGUGGUAACAUUUCUGAGGAAGAGAAUCCUGGCAGAAGAGUGGAGCUGAGUUUGACAAAAUCAUGAAUUCCCUUUCAGGCAUGUUGUGUUUGAAAUACCUGCACAUAAUUACCUACAGCUAGAACAAGGGGGCUGCUUAUGGCAAAGAAUCAGAAGAGAAGUGGAGAAGUAGGCAACAUCCAUGUUGUGGAGGACAAAGGUAUAUCUUGUAAGGGAUGGAGAUAUUGAGGGAUUCUCAGUAGGGCACUUCUAUGGCUUCAUUUGGGUUUUAGACAAUUAUUCCAGCAGUGGGAAGCUUGGAUCAUAGGAACCUGAGAUUGGAGGCGAGCAGUUAAAAAGCAAUUAUCUCACAUAACAUGGUGGUGGUGAGUUGGAUAGCAGAAGAGGAGGAGACUCGUAUUUCAAGGACGGGUUUAUAGAAUUUGUUGAGAGAACAACAAUGGCUUAGUGGCUUUAAAUUCCGUGGGAUUAAGGGAAGCAUUGUGACUGAUUCCUAAAUGUUCUUUGGAACACUGAGUGGAUGAUGGUGUCAUUAACAGAGAUGGGAAAAAUAGAGGGAAAGGCAGACGUGAAUGCGCACUUAGAUUUGCACACGGUAUGUUUGAGAUGGAACAGGACAUCCAUCCGCUGCUGAGUAGCAAGCAACUGCUGCUGGCUUCUGUGACAUCACCAUUGAUUCGUGUUUUCCUAACCUCCACCUCAGUGGAAAGAGUGGCUUUCCUUGAGAAAGAAGCAAAUAGCGGUGCCAUUUGGGGAUGUCAAUGAUACCGACACUGUUUAAUGUCUCUGUGUUUUCACACUUUUUUGUGACAAUCCAAAACACAGACACAGUGUUACAUUUUAUUAAUCAUGUUUGGACAUGAAUCAAUUCCUAAUGUGUGUUGUGUGUGUAUUUUCAAAGAAAAAUCUUU